ensembl:lncRNA novel transcript
GGGUCUCCUGGCCUGGCUACCAACAUGCCUGUGGCUUCUCAUUGGGCCCCGUGAGUGCUGGCAGGGCUGUGAAGCAGGUGUGACUAAUGGGUCAGCUCCCCGCUGGGACUGUGACCCUGAAGCUAACAAACCUAAGGGCAAGGCCAGGCGCAGCAGCUUUCUGAGUCUCUUCUGAAGUGGCUUGAAGUCGAUACUGUGUGUGUAUGUAAGAUCUAGCCUGAAGGAAGGCGCUUUGUUCAGUUGCUAACUUAUUUUCUUGGUGCUCAGCCAGACAGUCAAAAGGAGAGCAACUUAGCAGAAGAUUUUGGUCUAGCUGAGGAUUCAGAUCACUGAAGAACUUAAGUUUAGGCUGUUAAACAAAAUUAUGGGAGCCCGUUAUUUUGGACUGAACUCCUGUACUAGGCCCCAACAGACGAGACCAAACCAAAAUGGAGUCAUUCAUGCUAAAUGCCUCGUCAUCAAAUAGAAGCUUUAAGGAAGCAGAUAGAUCCAACAUAGACUAGUUUUUCUUGAGAACAGAAGAUUCCAGUCUACCUGUGUCAGUGCAAUAAGGAAGUCCUCUCUGCUUUAAUUUUUACACAAAAAGUAACCUCAUGUUAGCCAAUCCGACUUUAAAAUUUUUUUUUUCCUAUUUCCUUGUUCUCACCUUACAAAACCCACUGUUCUGCUGCUGUCCAGCAGGAACCCUCAUGCUGUUUUGUAGAAUGGAAGCUGCCCUGAUUCAUGAAUUGCAAAUAAAAGCCAAUUAGAUCUAUAA